rnacentral:rRNA from 1 species
GACGAACGCUGGCGGCGUGCUUAACACAUGCAAGUCGAACGAUGAAGCCGGAGCUUGCUCCGGUGGAUUAGUGGCGAACGGGUGAGUAACACGUGAGCAAUCUGCCCUUGACUCUGGGAUAACUGCGGGAAACUGUAGCUAAUACCGGAUACGACACCUUGGGGCAUCCCAGGGUGUGGAAAGAAUUUCGGUCAAGGAUGAGCUCGCGGCCUAUCAGCUAGUUGGUGAGGUAAUGGCUCACCAAGGCGACGACGGGUAGUCGGCCUGAGAGGGUGACCGGCCACACUGAAACUGAGACACGGUCCAGACUCCUACGGGAGGCAGCAGUGGGGAAUAUUGCACAAUGGGCGAAAGCCUGAUGCAGCAACGCCGCGUGAGGGAUGAAGGCCUUCGGGUUGUAAACCUCUUUUAGCAGGGAAGAAGCGAAAGUGACGGUACCUGCAGAAAAAGCACCGGCUAACUACGUGCCAGCAGCCGCGGUAA